GGAAGACUUAAGAUGGCGGCGUUUGCACGGAGUGCAAUCACUGCGUCCUUACGGGGGUUGCAAGGCGUCCGAAGUAUGAGUCCACUAACAAAAGUCCAGAAACUCGCCAGUUAAUAGUAUUGUGUCUCUUCAAAAUAUCGGAGAAUAAUUUCUUUCUCGCUGAUCGCCUAACUUCUACUGACGAAGCUUGGAAGUUGCAGAAGGUAGCUCCUAGGAGGGAUAUAUGGGUCGUUCUUUCCUUUUUCCUUAUUUAAAUGGGUUUUUAUUGACACCAUGUCGCGCCAAAAUGGAUUCCAUCUCCUCAGAGCUUUCCUAGGAACAGCCUAACCUCUUGGGCCUAACUUUAUUUUUUUUUUGUUCUGCCUUUCAUGUCCAGACUUAUUAGUUUUAAUUAAUUUGUUUGUAACGUAUUCAUUAUGCACUAGAUUAAACAAUUUUUUUCUGUGCCCACUAUACCCCAAAUGUGGAGUUUUGGGCAAAAACUUAA
rnacentral:lncRNA from 1 species